UACGUAGGUGGCAAGCGUUGUCCGGAAUUAUUGGGCGUAAAGCGCGCGCAGGCAGUCCUUUAAGUCUGAUGUGAAAGCCCACGGCUCAACCGUGGAGGGUCAUUGGAAACUGGAGGACUUGAGUGCAGGAGAGAAGAGUGGAAUUCCACGUGUAGCGGUGAAAUGCGUAGAGAUGUGGAGGAACACCAGUGGCGAAGGCGACUCUUUGGCCUGUAAGUGACGCUGAGGCGGCCGAAAGGCGUGGGGAAGCAAACAGG
rnacentral:rRNA from 1 species